AAUAACCAUAUACAAGAUUUACACAACGUAGUACACAUACAGAUAAGCUAGCCAAUAAGAGCUGCUGCGACUGCCUUAAAAAAAAACCAGUCCAGCUGCGACUGCUGCCAUCGGUGGACACUAAGAAGAAAGUAGUAUGACCACACAGUUAAGCAUUUCAACCUCGUUGCGACUCAAUCGAAGAAUUGUAUUCAGUACGGGC